GACGAACGCUGGCGGCGUGCAUAACACAUGCAAGUCACGGGGGCCAGCAAUGGCAACCGGCGAACGGGUGCGUAACACGUAAGCGACCUACCUCGAUGUGGGGCAUAGCCGGCCUAACGGCCGGGUAAUUCCGCAUGUGAUCCUUGAGGGGCAUAUCUCGGGGAUGAAACCAGUAAUGGGCAUUGAGAGGGGCUUGCGGCCUAUCAGCUUGUUGGCGGGGUAACGGCNCACCAAGGCGACGACGGGUAGCUGGUCUGAGAGGAUGGCCAGCCACAUUGGGACUGAGAAACGGGCCCAGACUCCUACGGGAGGCAGCAGUGGGGAAUCUUGCGCAAUGGCCUAACGGCUGACGCAGCGACGCCGCGUGAGGGAUGAAGCUCCUCGGGGGUGUAAACCACUGUUG
rnacentral:rRNA from 1 species